UACGAAGGGGGCUAGCGUUGCUCGGAAUCACUGGGCGUAAAGGGUGCGUAGGCGGGUCUUUAAGUCAGGGGUGAAAUCCUGGAGCUCAACUCCAGAACUGCCUUUGAUACUGAAGAUCUUGAGUUCGGGAGAGGUGAGUGGAACUGCGAGUGUAGAGGUGAAAUUCGUAGAUAUUCGCAAGAACCCCAGUGGCGAAGGCGGCUCACUGGCCCGAUACUGACGCUGAGGCACGAAAGCGUGGGGAGCAAUCAGG
rnacentral:rRNA from 1 species